UACAGAGGGUGCAAGCGUUAAUCGGAUUUACUGGGCGUAAAGGGCGCGUAGGCGGUUUAAUAGGUGUGAUGUGAAAGCCCUGGGCUUAACCUAGGAAGUGCAUCGCAAACGAUUGAACUGGAGUAGAUGAGAGGGUGGCGGAAUUUCCGGUGUAGCGGUGAAAUGCGUAGAGAUCGGAAGGAACGUCAAUGGCGAAGGCAGCCACCUGGAAUCAUACUGACGCUGAGGCGCGAAAGCGUGGGGAGCGAACAGG
rnacentral:rRNA from 1 species